rnacentral:rRNA from 1 species
AUUGAACGCUGGCGGCAUGCCUAACACAUGCAAGUCGAACGAGUGGCGGACGGGUGAGUAAUGUCUGGGAAACUGCCUGAUGGAGGGGGCUAACUACUGGAAACGGUAGCUAAUACCGCAUACCAUCGGAUGUGCCCAGAUGGUAUUCGCUAGUAGGUGGGGUAAAGGCUCACCUAGGCGACGAUCCCUAUCUGUUCUGAGAGGAUGCCCAGCCACACGGGGAAUGAGCCACGGCCCAGACUCCUACGGGAGGCAGCAGUGGGGAAUAUUGCACAAUGGGCGAAAGCCUGAUGCAGCCAUGCCGCGUGUAUGAAGAAGGCCUUCGGGUUGUAAAGUACUUUCAGCGGGGAGGCGUUACCCGCAGAAGAAGCACCGGCUAACUCCGUGCCAGCAGCCGCGGUAAUAC